rnacentral:rRNA from 1 species
CGGGAGGUAAUGUCUGGGAAACGGCCUGAUGGAGGGGGAUAACUACUGGAAACGGUAGCUAAUACCGCAUAACGUCGCAAGACCAAAGAGGGGGGACCUCCGGGGCCUCAUGCCAUCAGAUGUGCCCAGAUGGGAUUAGCUAGUAGGUGGGGUAACGGCUCACCUAGGCGACGAUCCCUAGCUGGUCUGAGAGGAUGACCAGCCACACUGGAACUGAGACACGGUCCAG